UACGGAGGGGACUAGCGUUGUUCGGGAUUACUGGGCGUAAAGCGCACGUAGGCGGAUUUGUAAGUCAGGGGUGAAAUCCCGGGGCUCAACCUCGGAACUGCCUUUGAUACUGCAAAUCUCGAGUCCGGAAGAGGUGAGUGGAAUUCCUAGUGUAGAGGUGAAAUUCGUAGAUAUUAGGAAGAACACCAGUGGCGAAGGCGGCUCACUGGUCCGGUACUGACGCUGAGGUGCGAAAGCGUGGGGAGCAAACAGG
rnacentral:rRNA from 1 species